rnacentral:rRNA from 1 species
UACGUAGGGUGCAAGCGUUGUCCGGAAUUAUUGGGCGUAAAGAGCUCGUAGGCGGUUUGUCGCGUCUGCUGUGAAAACUCGGGGCUUAACCCCGGGCCUGCAGUGGGUACGGGCAGACUAGAGUGCGGUAGGGGAGACUGGAAUUCCUGGUGUAGCGGUGAAAUGCGCAGAUAUCAGGAGGAACACCGGUGGCGAAGGCGGUUCUCUGGGCCUUACCUGACACUGAGGAGCGAAAGCGUGGGGAGCAAACAGG